rnacentral:rRNA from 1 species
GACGAACGCUGGCGGCGCGCCUAAUACAUGCAAGUAGAACGCACAGUUUAUACCGUAGCUUGCUACACCAUAAACUGUGAGUUGCGAACGGGUGAGUAACGCGUAGGUAACCUGCCUGGUAGCGGGGGAUAACUAUUGGAAACGAUAGCUAAUACCGCAUAAUAUUGAUUAUUGCAUGAUAAUUGAUUGAAAGAUGCUAUUGCAUCACUACCAGAUGGACCUGCGUUGUAUUAGCUAGUAGGUGAGGUAACGGCUCACCUAGGCGACGAUACAUAGCCGACCUGAGAGGGUGAUCGGCCACACUGGGACUGAGACACGGCCCAGACUCCUACGGGAGGCAGCAGUAGGGAAUCUUCGGCAAUGGACGAAAGUCUGACCGAGCAACGCCGCGUGAGUGAAGAAGGGUUUCGGAUCGUAAAGCUCUGUUGUAAGAGAAGAACGGGUGUGAGAGUGGAAAGUUCACACUGUGACGGUAUCUUACCAGAAAGGGACGGCUAACUACGUG